AAAAAAAAAAAAAGUGUUUAGUUAUUAGCUCUGAAGAAAUGUUAUUGAUAUCAAAUUCCGGAUGUCGAGUAGAACAGAUAUAUGUAUUACAGUGCUUGGUUUAAAUAGUCCAGACCGCGUAUUUAAUACAAUAAAUAAUAAAUAUACAAUACAUACGGUUACAAUUGUGUUGAACCGAGUUGGUAUGCCAGUAGACGACACCUUGAUACGCAGAAUAACAAAGUUUACGGAUCGAUUAAGUUACUUAGCAAAGUAAAGUACUCUGUUAGCCAAGUUGAAGGCCAUGAGAUUCCUACCGAGCAGUUUCACCUACACAGAUCUCUUCUCAGAAUUAAUUACUUUUGAAAUGAGGAGACGACGGAUAUAGGAGGAAAGUUCAAAAUGCUAUCUGGUACGUGUCGACAUGAGGUGGUCGACAUGGGUUGAUUGAAACCAGAUCUCGUAUACCAAGCUGAGCUUUAACUUCAACUUUAAAUAAAUGCUCUGAAUAAGAAAAAAAGCGGCAUUAAAAUUUAUAUGUAACCUAUCAUAAUAAUAAUAUUAAAAAAUUAAUGUAUUUUCACAUGGGACUCAAAAUAACGUGGCCAGCAGAGUAUGGUACGUGGUACAUGUGUGUAUGCUGAUGCUGAUGAAAGAAGGCCCGCGAGCGAUAGAAAUAGGAAGAGAAGGAACAACCGUUCCCGUGAGAGCGGGUGUGCACACGUUUUUGUGUAUACAUUGUUUCGUCGAACCAAAAGGAAUAUAACUACUAAGCGUGGAGAGCUCUUUGGGUACGCGUUUCGCCCGUAAAAUCUGACCCAGCCCGCAUCGAGGUACAUAGGGUUCAACGAGAGCACAAGCAAGACAGCGACAUGCAUCGAGGUGUACACAGACCUCGGGCUGUUGCCCAUAUGGUGACCAAGGCCCCUGGGUAUACAUACUACAGGGUCUAUAGGUGAACACACGUUCCGUUUCCCGUGCUCAAUUUACUCAAUGUACAUCUCUCUCCCUUUGCUUUUUGUCUCGCUAACCUCUCGAGUCGCCCUCUCUCGAAUCAUUCAAUCUGUCGACCCCCGUGUGCGAAUUUUUAUAUCGAUUCACCUGGUACACAAUGUGUACUUUAUAUUUAC